UACGGGGGGGCAAGCGUUGUUCGGAAUUACUGGGCGUAAAGGGCUCGUAGGUGGCCAACUAAGUCAGACGUGAAAUCCCUCGGCUUAACCGGGGAACUGCGUCUGAUACUGGACGGCUUGAGUUUGGGAGAGGGACGCGGAAUUCCAGGUGUAGCGGUGAAAUGCGUAGAUAUCAGGAGGAACACCGAUGGCGAAGGCAGUUCUCUGGGCCGUAACUGACGCUGAGGAGCGAAAGCGUGGGGAGCGAACAGG
rnacentral:rRNA from 1 species